rnacentral:misc_RNA from 1 species
AAGUCGUAACAAGGUUUCCGUAGGUGAACCUGCGGAAGGAUCAUUAUCAUUUUGAUUCUUAUCCUAAAACUAACCGUGAACUGUUCUUGUUGUUCUUUAACAACAAACCUUGAGUGCUCAAUCGGAUUUGAUUAAGGGGAUUCAUUUCUCUUUUUUCUUUUCUUUUUGAGUGCUUUUUACCAAUUGAACCCCCAAAAGUGCCAUCACUAAAUCUGAGUAACGAAAAAGGGUUUCUACUCUUUUUUCGUAGCUCAUUUUUGGUACUUAAACUUCGGUUUAUUUAGGCCAUUUUUAAAUUUUGACUGAUAUUCUUUUUCUUACCCAACCUAAAAAAUUGGGAAGAAGAAAAAGUUUCUAUAAUGAAACAAAUGUACAACUCUUAGCAACGGAUGUCUAGGCUCUC